rnacentral:lncRNA from 10 species
GAGGACAUCACAUUUGCCUGAUCUUGUGUGCCUGAUCUCUCUGACUCCGGAGUCUCUUAUAAGUUGAGUGAUAAUUCACCUUAUAGACCAUUCCUGAGGUGAUUGUAACACGUGGGAGAAUUGAGCCUAUCAUGGGAAUGAACACACAAGCAGUGGGUCAGUGUGAAUCACCACAGAAAGCUGAGGCUGCAUUUCAAACUCCAGCAACACCACAAGCUCCUGAAAUGAAGACUCCCAAGUUUCCUGAUUGUCUAACUGGUUAGAGUCAAAGGUCACAUUAUUCUGAAGAAGAUAUGAAUAAGCCUGGCAUUCAUCUGUUUCCUUCAUUUGAAUCAAGUCAGUCAGUUGCUCAUGGAACUCAACCUCGAGUCUCUCAGAUCCCCAGCCCAACCAUGGGCUGUGAGACCUGAGUGCCUCUUUCACAUCCAACAACAUAUAAAUGACAACGACAUAUGACCAGACCAUCCUGAGCCUGGUGUCUCUCCUCAUAGGCCUGCCUUUCAUGAGCAUGCCUGGGGAGAGAUGACUAAUGCUGUUUCUCCAGUUUUGUCCUCUUCUGGGUCAUGGGAAUGAUUUAUUCUUACUCAGCAAACCAGUAAUUGUGUGUUAUAUGUGAGUGGUAAGAUUCUUAAGGAGAUGUGGAAUCUGACUGCCUGAUGUGAUUCUCAAAUGGCCCCAACAUUUUACACAAUUGUUUGUAAUUAAAUAAAACCCAAAUUACAUUUGGGAUGAGAAAUGUAUUUUUUAACUUCUUUUGUGUUUGGAAGGACAAGCAAUUACCAUGGCUGUUUCUGAUUCAUUUACACUUAGCUCCUAAAAAU